UUUUGUUCUUAGAUCUAUAAAGAUUUUACUUACAGUUAUUUAUUUCUUUUCCCUGUCUCUGUCAAACAUCUAAACCUCUUCCUUUUUUGUGCAGGGAACCAAAAAUGGUUCGAUGAAGGAUGGUGUCUAAAAAGAGUUUUUCUCAGUCACCCACAUCAGAUACAUCUAUUCAUUUUGAACUUUGAAUACACAUCCCAUUCUUUACCUCAUCCUAACCCUAACCCUAGACAUAAUAGUAGAGCUACCCACCGGACCAUUCACGCCCGAGCUCACACCCAUAACCACACAUCUCAUAUCAAGCACCAAUACGACUACUCUCUAUACCGACUCCUCCGCCAUUCGUCUUUCUCUAAAGUGCUCCAACCCAUCGCCGCCCUCCAUCACCAGCAUUUUACCAGUCACGAAACCACCUUUAACAUUAAUGAUAAGUGCACCACCAUCAUUGUCUUCUUCAUCUCUCUAUUCAUAAGAAAAACCCUAACCAUGUAUGUGUGUUUACAACUCUGAAAUGAGAGGAAAUGAAAAGACGAACCCAAAUAAAAACCUGGUCAGCUGGAGGUUAGGUUUUCACACUGAGCUUUUAUUUUUCUCCAUUAUUUUGGAUUUUACAUGUUUGUUUUGCAUUUUUCAUAUGUUUACAAGUAACUCAUAUUUUUAAGCCAUCAAUUCAUCAAUCUUUUAAGCAAAUUAGAUUAGUUUACCAUGCUUAAUAUGUGGCAACCCUGCUUUCUAUUAUAACAAAUCUGUGAGAAAUUGAUUAUAUAUUUGGGGUUUUUUUUUGUAGAUCUGUUCCGUUUGGUGUUGGUAUGUCACGCUCUGCUUUUUUUUUUUCCGAGAUAUUGUCUCUAUGUUUGUGCGUGUUUAGCUGUUUCUGUAAAUCCGAUAGUAGCUUUACAUAGAUAUCUUCUUAUCUUUUCGAUUUCUUAGAAUCUCUUGCAUUUGUUAAUCGUAUUUUGUGGAAAUUGAUAAAAACCUGUGAAAGUAUAAAUUUUUUAUAAUAAGUGAAUACCUGCUGUCAAAUAAUAAGCUGCCAUUUUUUUGUGAAAAUUGUCUCCCUUGCAUCUAAGAAAUCAAUUUUGAACCCAAUGUUAUGUUUGAACAUAUUGACAAGAAACUGACUUUUCAGGUAUCUCUUUUUCAAUUGCAAUCUUUCCGAUAUUAUUACUUCGCUUUGUUCAUUUCUUAUAUCAAAUGUUGACACUAUUUGACUCCAAGCAUUCCAAGGACGUUUCUGGUUUGAAUUGCUCUAUUAUUAUAGUUUUAACACUAGGAGAUCGUUUCUUUCAGAAACCUCUUAAGGUUGAAAAUAUCACUAUCAAAACUCCAACUUUACUGUUAUAUGUGGUUUCGUACACUCAAUACUUGGUGGUUUUAUUUUGUUUGUUGUAGAAAAAAGAUUGUUUUAUUCUUCAACCACCCACCCUUUACUCUCAAUCAGUUCCUGUACCCCACCCAUUCUCUUGGUCUUUUCCUUCUUUUUGCUAUAGAAACACACACCAUCACAAACAUAAUUCAUUGCUAUAUUAGAUAAGUUGACAUAUUCGUUAUGAAUUAACUGCUAUGCUUCUUUUUUUUGUUUUCACAGGUUCACAUAUAUGUUACCUGUUAUGGUCUCACUGGUCUCAUAGAUUUGGUUGCAAGUAGCUGGUGAGACUCAUUUCAUGUGGCUACUAAUUGAUUGGUACAGGGGAAGGGAAGGAUUGUCGUAUUAGGAAAUGGUUAAAUCAUUAGAUGUGGAUCGGUUGAAUUUUUUUGUAUUUUUCUCUUUAUUUUGGAUUAUAAUUUUUUGAACUUUUUUAUUUAUCAAUUUGUAGAGGCUCGGGUCUCUUAGGAAAAAAGCAACAUUUUCCCUAUUUUUUUUAUUUCCUGCAACUGUUGUUAAUGAAAAUACACAUAAUGACAUUGUUGUUUUGUUAUACCAUACGAAAUUUAAGGAAUAACAUACUACUUUUGAUUUUAAA